GCCUGUAGCUCAGUGGUAGAGCAGUGGGCUUUUAACCCAUUGGUCGUGGGUUCGAUCCCCACCGGGCC
rnacentral:tRNA from 1 species